rnacentral:rRNA from 1 species
CCUACGGGAGGCAGCAGUGAGGAAUAUUGGUCAAUGGGCGGGAGCCUGAACCAGCCAAGUCGCGUGAGGGAAGACGGUCCUAUGGAUUGUAAACCUCUUUAGGCGGGGAGCAAUGCCGGGCACGCGUGCCCGGAGGGAGAGUACCCGCAGAAUAAGCAUCGGCUAACUCCGUGCCAGCAGCCGCGGUAAUACGGAGGAUGCGAGCGUAAUCCGGAUUUAUUGGGUUUAAAGGGUGCGUAGGCGGAUUUUUAAGUCAGCGGUAAAAUGUCCGGGCUCAACCCAGUAGGGCAACAGAUACUGCAAAGCUAGAGUAUGACAGAGGCAAGUGGAACUACAUGUGUAGCGGUCAAAUGCGUAAAUAUAUGUAAGAACACCAGUGGCGAAGGCGGCUUGCUGGGUCGAUACUGACAUUGAGGCACGAAAGCGUGGGGAGCAAACAGGAUUAGAUACCCUUGUAGUC